rnacentral:sRNA from 1 species
UUGCGGGAGAAGAAACCUAAUGGCUGCC